AUUGAACGCUGGCGGCAUGCUUUACACAUGCAAGUCGAGCGGCAGCGCGGGGGCAACCCUGGCGGCGAGCGGCGAACGGGUGAGUAAUGCAUCGGAACGUGUCCCGUAGUGGGGGGAUAACCCGCCGAAAGGCGGGCUAAUACCGCAUAUGCUCUACGGAGGAAAGGGGGGGAGUCCGCAAGGACCUCUCGCUAUGGGAGCGGCCGAUGUCCGAUUAGCUAGUUGGUGGGGUAAUGGCUUACCAAGGCGACGAUCGGUAGCUGGUCUGAGAGGAUGAUCAGCCACACUGGGACUGAGACACGGCCCAGACUCCUACGGGAGGCAGCAGUGGGGAAUAUUGGACAAUGGGGGAAACCCGUGAUCCAGCAAUGCCGCGUGAGUGAUGAAGGUCUUCGGAUUGUAAAGCUCUUUUGGUCGAGGGACGAUGAUGACGGUACCUGCAGAAUAAGCUCCGGCUAACUUCGUGCCAGCAGCCGCGGUAA
rnacentral:rRNA from 1 species